rnacentral:misc_RNA from 1 species
AAAAAAAAAAAAAAAAAACCCAGUACAGGUAAUCAGGAUAACCACAAAAUGCAAAAGGUGGGUGCCACUCCGACGAUGAAGGUGGCUUUUCCUUCCUGAAAAGCGAUACAGGUGAAGAAGAAUUAAUUGGAGUUGCUUAGCAAUAUUCAACGGGGGCUAAAAAGUGUAUUUUCCUUUUAUUCCAGGACACCCAUGUAGCUUAGAAAUCCCUCAGAAUGGACUAAAGCUUUACACAUUUGGUGGUGGCCAAAUCUUUGUAAAUAGUUCCUCAACUCGCCUUGCUUGAUCAAUGAGACCAUCCAGACCAGCAGCCAGACGGUCAAUCGCUGCUGGCCCCAUAGGUAGUGCAAGACUUAAUUGGUCCCAUUUUGCUACCUCUUCUUCACUGAAAUUGUAGGCAGCAGCAGAUUGCGGUGAUAACUUCUGAACAAAAGAGUACUUCUCAUCAGGAGUAGUGGUGGACUCUGAAAGGGAUUGCAAUACCUUCAAUGGUGCAAUUAUAUAGUCAACCCUGGAAGAGUAGAACAAAAAAAACAUAGGUAUUAAAUGUUAAUUUUUGUGUUCAGCUGUAAAAAAUCCUAGCUGAAUACAAGUAAAAUAUUACCCCAAAAGUCAUAUUACCCCAAAAGACUGAAUAAAUCUUGUCUGUUCCGAACUGCUGCUGCCAUCAACUUUGAUUUAUGCCCAUAUUUGUGGAUCUAAUUAUACGCUUUUGUCACCAAAGACAAACCAGGAUCUUCCCCUCUUUUCAGAACAGCAUCUAUCUCAGGGUCACCGGAAUGGCUGCGUGCCCAGUCCCUGAUGCGCCCAACAAAAAUCUGUAUUACAGAAGCACCAGCUUGGGCCGCAGCUGCAGCUUGAGCAAAGCUGUAAACAAAAGUCAAAUGCGUCUGUAUGCCUUGAGAUUCCAGCUAUCUCGAGGCCUCUAUUCCUUGCCAAGUUGAAGGAAUUUUGAAUAACAAACGCUCUGGAGGAACAUUAAUUUCAUUGUACAACUUCAGUAAGGAAUGCACCUUCCCAAUAAUGCCAUGAGUGUCAUAAGCCAACCGCGCAUCAACUUCAGUUGAAACUCGGCCAGGCACUAAUUUCACCAAAUCGCCUCCAACAUUAACUAAAGCCUUGUUUGCGAAAGAAGACAAUCUCAAUUCUGGAUUUUCCAACGCAGUACACCCUGAAUCUGCCAAAAGCCAUAUCCACAGCAUUUCUGAAUAUCGUGUCAGGGAGAGUCAAUAUACCCAAAAGAAGAGAAGAGCUAACAGUAGCAGCAGUUGAAGGAAACCUGCAUUAUAAACAAUCACCACCAAAAAAAAAAAAAAUUAAAAAUGAGAAUUGUAACAACUAAAUUAUGUACACAAUUGUCAACCAAUCAAACAGAAUACGAUGAUCGAAACUUUCAAUUUCCCGUUGAGCUAGAUCAAUUUAAAGGGAAUAGGAGAUAUUCCACUUCUCGAAAUCAUCGAAGAUUACAGUGUCAGGAACGAUCUCACUGAAGCUAGAGACAGCAUCCAAUUCAGUGCUAGGACCAGUAUCUAGAGAAGAAGAGAAGCCGGUAGAAGCACGAAUUUGAGGGGAAAAUGGUUGGAACUUAAAGAAGACUGCAUUUGAAGUUCCCCAUUCACCAGGCAGCCUCAAGUUUCCUCCAUUCUGAAGAGACAAUAAAUAAGAAUGAAUAGUGCAGUUUUGAGCUAUAGAGUGAAUCGGAGAAUAGAGAUUUAUAGACAGAGGAUUUGACAGACAGGUGCUCUCUUCUCUUAUGGAGCCAUCUGGGCUUUU